UAGGGAAUCUUCGGCAAUGGGGGGAACCCUGACCGAGCAACGCCGCGCGAGUGAAGAAGGUUUUCGGAUCGUAAAGCCCUGUUGUUAAGGAAGAACGAGUGUGAGAAUGGAAAGUUCAUGCUGUGACGGUACUUAACCAGAAAGGGACGGCUAACUACGUGCCAGCAGCCGCGGUAAUAUGUAGGUCCCGAGCGUUGUCCGGAUUUAUUGGGCGUAAAGCGAGCGCAGGUGGUUAGAAAAGUCUGAAGUGAAAGGCAGUGGCUCAACCAUUGUAGGCUUUGGAAACUGUUUAACUUGAGUGCAGAAGGAAGGAGUGGACUUCCAUGUGUAGCGGUAAGCUGCAGAGAUAUAUGGAGGAACACCGGUGGCGAAUGCGGCUCUCUAGUCAGUAACUAACGCUGAAGCUCGAAAACGUGGGGAGCGAACAGG
rnacentral:rRNA from 1 species